GUGGGGAAUAUUGGACAAUGGGCGCAAGCCUGAUCCAGCCAUGCCGCGUGAGUGAUGAAGGCCCUAGGGUUGUAAAGCUCUUUCACCGGAGAAGAUAAUGACGGUAUCCGGAGAAGAAGCCCCGGCUAACUUCGUGCCAGCAGCCGCGGUAAUACGAAGGGUGCUAGCGUUGUUCGGAAUUACUGGGCGUAAAGCGCACGUAGGCGGACAUUUAAGUCAGGGGUGAAAUCCCGGAGCUCAACUCCGGAACUGCCUUUGAUACUGGGUGUCUGGAGUAUGGAAGAGGUGAGUGGAAUUCCGAGUGUAGAGGUGAAAUUCGUAGAUAUUCGGAGGAACACCAGUGGCUAAGGCGGCUCACUGGUCCAUUACUGACGCUGAGGUGCGAAAGCGUGGGGAGCAAACAGGAUUAGAUACCCCAGUAGUCC
rnacentral:rRNA from 1 species